rnacentral:rRNA from 1 species
AGGACGAACGCUGGCGGCGUGCUUAACACAUGCAAGUCGAGCGGAAAGGCCCUUCGGGGUACUCGAGCGGCGAACGGGUGAGUAACACGUGAGCAAUCUGCCCUUAGCUUCGGGAUAGCUCCGGGAAACCGGAAUUAAUACCGAAUAUGACUUCGGCCGACAUCGGCCUUGGUGGAAAGUUUUUCGGCUAGGGAUGAACUCGCGGCCUAUCAGCUUGUUGGUGGGGUAAUGGCCUACCAAGGCGACGACGGGUAGCCGGCCUGAGAGGGCGACCGGCCACACUGGGACUGAGACACGGCCCAGACUCCUACGGGAGGCAGCAGUGGGGAAUAUUGCGCAAUGGGCGAAAGCCUGACGCAGCGACGCCGCGUGGGGGAUGAAGGCCUUCGGGUUGUAAACCCCUUUCAGCAGGGACGAAGCGAAAGUGACGGUACCUGCAGAAGAAGCGCCGGCUAACUACGUGCCAGCAGCCGC